ACCAAGUUACACAUUAAGUUUAACUUGAAUGGAGUCCACCAUUGCACAUUAAUAGUGGUUCAUAUGAACAAUCAAUAAAAUUGAUAUUUUUCUUUCUGUUCAGAAAACAACUGCAUCAACUGGGUUCAAAAUGAAGGCACAGAAAGUGACAGCUACUUUCACCAUGGUGUUCUUAUGUUGGAUUAUCCAUGACGUUUCUUCCACAACCGCAUAUCCGACAACUGCAGAUCUUAUUACAACAACAACAACUGCAGCUCCUAUGGCAACAACUCUAGCUCCAACGACAACUGCAGCUCCAACGACAACUGCAGCUCCUACGACAACUACAACUGCAGUACCUAAUACUAUGACUACAACUACAGACCCUACUACAACUGUAGCUCCUACGGACACUACAAAGGUAACACCUACAAUGACCACUGUAGCUCCCAUGCCACCUGCAACUCCUACGACAACUGAAGCUCUGACGACAACAACUGCUGCUCCUACGACCACUACAACUCCAAAACCUACUACGACAGAACCUACUCCCACGACUGCUACGACUGUAGAACCUACCACGACAACCAGUGCAGCUCCUACUACAACAGCUGCUGUUCUUACGACAGCAACGACUGCAGCACCUUCUACAACAACUACAACUUCAGCUCCUACGACAACCACAACAACAGCACCUACAACAACUGUAGCUCCCAUGACAACUACAGCUCCUACAACAGCUUUAGCAUCUAUGACAACCACUGCAGCUCCUACUACAACAAAUGAUGUUCUUACGACAGCAACGACUGCAGCACCUUCUACAACAACUGCAACUUGUGCUCAUACGACAACCACAACAGCAACACCUACUACAACACCUGCAGUUCCAACAACUGUAGCUCCCAUGACCACUACACUUGCUGUACUGACUACAACAACCACAACUGCAGCUCCUGCUACAACAAUUGUCGCUUCUACGUCAACCACAGCAGCUGCCUCUACGACAACUGCUGCUCCAACAACCACUACAAUUCCAGAACCUAUUACGACAACCACUGCAGUUCCUGCAACAACAACUGCUAUUCUUACAACCACUGCGACUGCAGCACCUUCUACAACAACUACUCCUUCAGUGCCUACGACAACCACAACAGCAACACCUACAACAACUGUAGCUCCCACGACAACUGCAGCUCCUACAACAACUUUAGCAUCUCCUUCAACCACAGCAGCUGCCUCUACGACAAGCACUGCAGCUCUAACUACAACAACUGCUGCUCCAACGACCACUACAACUCCAGAACCUAUUACGGCAACCACUUCAGUUCCUGCUACAACAACUACAACUUCCGCUCCUACGACAACCACAACAACAGCAACUACAACAACUGUAGCUCCCACGACAACUGCAGCUCCUACAACAACUUUAGCGUCCACUUCAACCACAGCAGCUGCCUCUUCGACAGCCACUGUAGCUCUAACUACAACAACUGCUGCUCCUACGACCACUGCAACUCCAGAACCUAUUACGACAACCAGUGCAGCUCCUACUACAACAACUACAACUUCAGUUCCUACGACAACCACAACAGCUACACCUACAACAACUGUUGCUCCCACGGCAGCUGCAGCUCCUACAACAACUUUAUCAUCUACUUCAACCACAGCAGCUGCCUCUACGACAACCACUGCAGCUCUAACUACAACAACUGCUGCUCAAACGACCACUACAACUCCAGAACCUAUUACGACAACCACUGCAGCUCCUGCUACAACUACAACUUCAGCUCCUACGACAACCACAGCAACUACAACAACUGUAGCUCCGACAACAACUUUAGCGUCCACUUCAACCACAGCAGCUGCCUCUUCGACAGCCACUGCAGCUCUAACUACAACAACUGCUGCUCCUACGACCACUGCAACUCCAGAACCUAUUACGACAACCAGUGCAGCUCCUACUACAACAAGUGCUGUUCUAACGACCACAGUGACUGCAGCACCUUCUACAACAACUACAACUUCAGCUCCUAUGACAACCACAACAACAGCACCUACUACAACACCUGCAGAUCCUACAACUGUAGCUCCGACGACCACUCCACCUGCUGUACUUACUACAACAAUCACAACUACAGGUCCUGAUACAACAACUGUAGCUUCUACGUCAACUACAGCAGCUGCCUCUACGACAACCACAGCUGCUCUAACUACAACAACUGCUGCUCCAACGACCACUACAAUUCCAGAACCUAUUACGACAACCACUGCAGUUCCUGCAACAACAACUGCUAUUCUUACAACCGCUGCGACUGCAGCACCUUCUACAACAACUACAACUUCAGCGCCUACGACAACCACAACAGCAACACCUACAACAACUGUAGCUCCCACGACAACUGCAGCUCCUACAACAACUUUAUCAUCUACUUCAACCACAGCAGCUGCCUCUACGACAACCACUGCAGCUCUAACUACAACAACUGCUGCUCAAACGACCACUACAACUCCAGAACCUAUUACGACAACCACUGCAGCUCCUGCUACAACAACUACAACUUCAGUUCCUACGACAACCACAACAGCUACACCUACAACAACUGUAGCUCCCACGGCAGCUGCAGCUCCUACAACAACUUUAUCAUCUACUUCAACCACAGCAGCUGCCUCUACGACAACCACUGCAGCUCUAACUACAACAACUGCUGCUCAAACGACCACUACAACUCCAGAACCUAUUACGACAACCACUGCAGCUCCUGCUACAACUACAACUUCAGCUCCUACGACAACCACAGCAACUACAACAACUGUAGCUCCGACAACAACUUUAGCGUCCACUUCAACCACAGCAGCUGCCUCUUCGACAGCCACUGCAGCUCUAACUACAACAACUGCUGCUCCUACGACCACUGCAACUCCAGAACCUAUUACGACAACCAGUGCAGCUCCUACUACAACAAGUGCUGUUCUAACGACCACAGUGACUGCAGCACCUUCUACAACAACUACAACUUCAGCUCCUACGACAACCACAACAACAGCACCUACUACAACACCUGCAGAUCCUACAACUGUAGCUCCGACGACCACUCCACCUGCUGUACUUACUACAACAAUCACAACUCCAGGUCCUGAUACAACAACUGUAGCUUCUACGUCAACCACAGCAGCUGCCUCUACGACAACCACAGCUGCUCUAACUACAACAACUGCUGCUCCAACAACCAUUACAAUUCCAGAACCUAUUACGACAACCACUGCAGCUCCUGCUACCACUACGACUUCAGCUCCUACGACAACCACAACAACAGCAACUACAACAACUGCAGCUCCUACAACAACUUUAUCAUCUACUUCAACCACAGCAGCUGCCUCUACGACAACCACUGCAGCUCUAACUACAACAACUGCUGCUCCAACGACCACUACAACUCCAGAACCUAUUACGGCAACCACUUCAAUUCCUGCUACAACAACUACAACUUCAGCUCCUACGACAACCACAACAGCGACACCUACAACAACUGUAGCUCCCACGACAACUGCAGCUCCUACAACAACUUUAUCAUCUACUUCAACCACAGCAGCUUCUUCUACGACAACCACUGCAGCUCUAACUACAACAACUGCUGCUCAAACGACCACUACAACUCCAGAACCUAUUACGACAACCACUGCAGCUCCUGCUACGACAACUACAACUUCAGUUCCUACGACAACCACAACAGCUACACCUACAACAACUGUAGCUCCCACGACAACUGCAGCUCCUACAACAACUUUAUCAUCUACUUCAACCACAGCAGCUGCCUCUACGACAACCACAGCUGCUCUAACUACAACAACUGCUGCUCCAACGACCAUUACAAUUCCAGAACCUAUUACGACAACCACUGCAGCUCCUGCUACCACUACGACUUCAGCUCCUACGACAACCACAACAACAGCAACUACAACAACUGCAGCUCCUACAACAACUUUAUCAUCUACUUCAACCACAGCAGCUGCCUCUACGACAACCACUGCAGCUCUAACUACAACAACUGCUGCUCCAACGACCACUACAACUCCAGAACCUAUUACGGCAACCACUUCAAUUCCUGCUACAACAACUACAACUUCAGCUCCUACGACAACCACAACAGCGACACCUACAACAACUGUAGCUCCCACGACAACUGCAGCUCCUACAACAACUUUAUCAUCUACUUCAACCACAGCAGCUUCUUCUACGACAACCACUGCAGCUCUAACUACAACAACUGCUGCUCAAACGACCACUACAACUCCAGAACCUAUUACGACAACCACUGCAGUUCCUGCAACAACAACUGCUAUUCUUACAACCGCUGCGACUGCAGCACCUUCUACAACAACUACAACUUCAGCGCCUACGACAACCACAACAGCAACACCUACAACAACUGUAGCUCCCACGACAACUGCAGCUCCUACAACAACUUUAUCAUCUACUUCAACCACAGCAGCUGCCUCUACGACAACCACUGCAGCUCUAACUACAACAACUGCUGCUCAAACGACCACUACAACUCCAGAACCUAUUACGACAACCACUGCAGCUCCUGCUACAACUACAACUUCAGCUCCUACGACAACCACAGCAACUACAACAACUGUAGCUCCGACAACAACUUUAGCGUCCACUUCAACCACAGCAGCUGCCUCUUCGACAGCCACUGCAGCUCUAACUACAACAACUGCUGCUCCUACGACCACUGCAACUCCAGAACCUAUUACGACAACCAGUGCAGCUCCUACUACAACAAGUGCUGUUCUAACGACCACAGUGACUGCAGCACCUUCUACAACAACUACAACUUCAGCUCCUACGACAACCACAACAACAGCACCUACUACAACACCUGCAGAUCCUACAACUGUAGCUCCGACGACCACUCCACCUGCUGUACUUACUACAACAAUCACAACUCCAGGUCCUGAUACAACAACUGUAGCUUCUACGUCAACCACAGCAGCUGCCUCUACGACAACCACAGCUGCUCUAACUACAACAACUGCUGCUCCAACAACCAUUACAAUUCCAGAACCUAUUACGACAACCACUGCAGCUCCUGCUACCACUACGACUUCAGCUCCUACGACAACCACAACAACAGCAACUACAACAACUGCAGCUCCUACAACAACUUUAUCAUCUACUUCAACCACAGCAGCUGCCUCUACGACAACCACUGCAGCUCUAACUACAACAACUGCUGCUCCAACGACCACUACAACUCCAGAACCUAUUACGGCAACCACUUCAAUUCCUGCUACAACAACUACAACUUCAGCUCCUACGACAACCACAACAGCGACACCUACAACAACUGUAGCUCCCACGACAACUGCAGCUCCUACAACAACUUUAUCAUCUACUUCAACCACGGCAGCUUCCUCUACGACAACCACUGCAGCUCUAACUACAACAACUGCUGCUCAAACGACCACUACAACUCCAGAACCUAUUACGACAACCACUGCAGCUCCUGCUACAACAACUACAACUUCAGUUCCUACGACAACCACAACAGCUACACCUACAACAACUGUAGCUCCCACGACAACUGCAGCUCCUACAACAACUUUAUCAUCUACUUCAACCACAGCAGCUGCCUCUACGACAACCACAGCUGCUCUAACUACAACAACUGCUGCUCCAACGACCACUACAAUUCCAGAACCUAUUACGACAACCACUGCAGUUCCUGCAACAACAACUGCUAUUCUUACAACCGCUGCGACUGCAGCACCUUCUACAACAACUACAACUUCAGCGCCUACGACAACCACAACAGCAACACCCACAACAACUGUAGCUCCCACGACAACUGCAGCUCCUACAACAACUUUAUCAUCUACUUCAACCACAGCAGCUGCCUCUACGACAACCACUGCAGCUCUAACUACAACAACUGCUGCUCAAACGACAACUACAACUCCAGAACCUAUUACGACAACCACUGCAGCUCCUGCUACAACAACUACAACUUCAGUUCCUACGACAACCACAACAGCUACACCUACAACAACUGUAGCUCCCACGGCAGCUGCAGCUCCUACAACAACUUUAUCAUCUACUUCAACCACAGCAGCUGCCUCUACGACAACCACUGCAGCUCUAACUACAACAACUGCUGCUCAAACGACCACUACAACUCCAGAACCUAUUACGACAACCACUGCAGCUCCUGCUACAACUACAACUUCAGCUCCUACGACAACCACAGCAACUACAACAACUGUAGCUCCGACAACAACUUUAGCGUCCACUUCAACCACAGCAGCUGCCUCUUCGACAGCCACUGCAGCUCUAACUACAACAACUGCUGCUCCUACGACCACUGCAACUCCAGAACCUAUUACGACAACCAGUGCAGCUCCUACUACAACAAGUGCUGUUCUAACGACCACAGUGACUGCAGCACCUUCUACAACAACUACAACUUCAGCUCCUACGACAACCACAACAACAGCACCUACUACAACACCUGCAGAUCCUACAACUGUAGCUCCGACGACCACUCCACCUGCUGUACUUACUACAACAAUCACAACUCCAGGUCCUGAUACAACAACUGUAGCUUCUACGUCAACCACAGCAGCUGCCUCUACGACAACCACAGCUGCUCUAACUACAACAACUGCUGCUCCAACAACCAUUACAAUUCCAGAACCUAUUACGACAACCACUGCAGCUCCUGCUACCACUACGACUUCAGCUCCUACGACAACCACAACAACAGCAACUACAACAACUGCAGCUCCUACAACAACUUUAUCAUCUACUUCAACCACAGCAGCUGCCUCUACGACAACCACUGCAGCUCUAACUACAACAACUGCUGCUCCAACGACCACUACAACUCCAGAACCUAUUAAGGCAACCACUUCAAUUCCUGCUACAACAACUACAACUUCAGCUCCUACGACAACCACAACAGCGACACCUACAACAACUGUAGCUCCCACGACAACUGCAGCUCCUACAACAACUUUAUCAUCUACUUCAACCACAGCAGCUGCCUCUACGACAACCACAGCUGCUCUAACUACAACAACUGCUGCUCCAACGACCACUACAAUUCCAGAACCUAUUACGACAACCACUGCAGUUCCUGCAACAACAACUGCUAUUCUUACAACCGCUGCGACUGCAGCACCUUCUACAACAACUACAACUUCAGCGCCUACGACAACCACAACAGCAACACCUACAACAACUGUAGCUCCCACGACAACUGCAGCUCCUACAACAACUUUAUCAUCUACUUCAACCACAGCAGCUGCCUCUACGACAACCACUGCAGCUCUAACUACAACAACUGCUGCUCCAACGACCACUACAACUCCAGAACCUAUUACGGCAACCACUUCAAUUCCUGCUACAACAACUACAACUUCAGCUCCUACGACAACCACAACAGCGACACCUACAACAACUGUAGCUCCCACGACAACUGCAGCUCCUACAACAACUUUAUCAUCUACUUCAACCACAGCAGCUUCCUCUACGACAACCACUGCAGCUCUAACUACAACAACUGCUGCUCAAACGACCACUACAACUCCAGAACCUAUUACGACAACCACUGCAGCUCCUGCUACAACAACUACAACUUCAGUUCCUACGACAACCACAACAGCUACACCUACAACAACUGUAGCUCCCACGACAACUGCAGCUCCUACAACAACUUUAUCAUCUACUUCAACCACCACAGCUGCCUCUACGACAACCACAGCUGCUCUAACUACAACAACUGCUGCUCCAACAACCACUACAAUUCCAGAACCUAUUACGACAACCACUGCAGUUCCUGCAACAACAACUGCUAUUCUUACAACCGCUGCGACUGCAGCACCUUCUACAACAACUACAACUUCAGAGCCUACGACAACCACAACAGCAACACCUACAACAACUGUAGCUCCCACGACAACUGCAGCUCCUACAACAACUUUAUCAUCUACUUCAACCACAGCAGCUGCCUCUACGACAACCACUGCAGCUCUAACUACAACAACUGCUGCUCAAACGACCACUACAACUCCAGAACCUAUUACGACAACCACUGCAGCUCCUGCUACAACUACAACUUCAGCUCCUACGACAACCACAGCAACUACAACAACUGUAGCUCCGACAACAACUUUAGCGUCCACUUCAACCACAGCAGCUGCCUCUUCGACAGCCACUGCAGCUCUAACUACAACAACUGCUGCUCCUACGACCACUGCAACUCCAGAACCUAUUACGACAACCAGUGCAGCUCCUACUACAACAAGUGCUGUUCUAACGACCACAGUGACUGCAGCACCUUCUACAACAACUACAACUUCAGCUCCUACGACAACCACAACAGCUACACCUACAACAACUGUAGCUCCCACGCCAACUGCAGCUCCUACAACAACUUUAUCAUCUACUUCAACCACAGCAGCUGCCUCUACGACAACCACUGCAGCUCUAACUACAACAACUGCUGCUCAAACGACCACUACAACUCCAGAACCUAUUACGACAACCACUGCAGCUCCUGCUACAACAACUACAACUUCAUUUCCUACGACAACCACAACAGCUACACCUACAACAACUGUAGCUCCCACGGCAGCUGCAGCUCCUACAACAACUUUAUCAUCUACUUCAACCACAGCAGCUGCCUCUACGACAACCACUGCAGCUCUAACUACAACAAAUGCUGCUCAAACGACCACUACAACUCCAGAACCUAUUACGACAACCACUGCAGCUCCUGCUACAACUACAGCUCCUACGACAACCACAACAACAGCAACUACAACAACUGUAGCUCCUACAACAACUUUAGCGUCCACUUCAACCACAGCAGCUGCCUCUUCGACAGCCACUGCAGCUCUAACUACAACAACUGCUGCUCCUACGACCACUGCAACUCCAGAACCUAUUACGACAACCACUGCAGCUCCUACUACAACAACUACAACUUCAGCUCCUACGACAACCACAACAGCUACACCUACAACAACUGUAGCUCCCACGCCAACUGCAGCUCCUACAACAACUUUAUCAUCUACUUCAACCACAGCAGCUGCCUCUACGACAACCACUGCAGCUCUAACUACAACAACUGCUGCUCAAACGACCACUACAACUCCAGAACCUAUUACGACAACCACUGCAGCUCCUGCUACAACUACAACUUCAGCUCCUACGACAACCACAACAACAGCAACUACAACAACUGCAGCUCCUACAACAACUUUAUCAUCUACUUCAACCACAGCAGCUGCCUCUACGACAACCACUGCAGCUCUAACUACAACAACUGCUGCUCCAACGACCACUACAACUCCAGAACCUAUUACGUCAACCACUUCAAUUCCUGCUACAACAACUACAACUUCAGCUCCUACGACAACCACAACAGCUACACCUACAACAACUGUAGCUCCCACGCCAACUGCAGCUCCUACAUCAACUUCAUCAUCUACUUCAACCACAGCAGCUGCCUCUACGACAACCACUGCAGCUCUAACUACAACAACUGCUGCUCAAACGACCACUACAACUCCAGAACCUAUUACGACAACCACUGCAGUUCCUGCAACAACAACUGCUAUUAUUACAACCACUGUGACUGCAGCACCUUCUACAACAACUGCAACUUCAGCUCAUACGACAACCACAACAACAUUACCUACUACAACACCUACAACAACUGUAGCUCCCACGACAACUACAGCUCCUACAACAACUUUAGCAUCUACUUCAAUCACAGCAGCUGCCCCUCCAACAGCCACUGCAGCCCUAAUUACAACAACUGCUGCUCCUACGACCACUGCAACUCCCCAACCUACUACGACAACCAGUGCAACUCAUAGUACAACAACUGCUGUUCUUACGACCACAGUGACUGCAGCACCUUCUACAACAACUACAACUACAACUUCAGCUCCUACGACAACCACAACAACAGCACCUACAACAACUGCUGCUCCUACGACCACUACAACUUCAUUACCUACUACGACAACCAGUGCAGCUCCUACUACAACAACUGCUGUUCUUACGACAACAACGACUGCAUCACCAUCUACAACAACUACAACUGCUGCUCCAACGACCACUACAACUCCAGAACCUAUUACGACAACCACAGCAGCUCUCUCUUCGACAACCACUGCAGCUCUGAGUACAACAACUUCUGCUCCAACGACCACUACAACUCGAGAAUCUAUUACUACAACCACUGCUACAACAACUACAACUUCAGCUCCGACGACAACCACAACAACAGCACCUACAACAACUGUAGCUCCCACGACAACUGCUGUUCUAACUACCACAACGACUGCAGCACCUUCUACAACCACGACCACUUCAGCUCCUGUGACAACCACAACAACAGCACCUACUACAACACCUGCAGUUUCUACGACUGUAGCUCCCAUGACCACUCCACCUGCUGUACUUACUACAACAACCACAACUACAUCUCCUGCAACAACAACUGUAGCUUCUACAUCAAUCACAGCAGCUGCCUCUACGACAACCACUGCAGCUCCUGCUACAACAACUGCUAUUCUUACAACCACUGUGACUGCAGCACCUUCUACAACAACUACAACGUCAGCUCCUACGACAACCACAACAACAGCACCUACAACAACUGUAGCUCACACGACAACUGCAGCUCCUACAACAGCUUUAGCAUCUACGACAACUGCUGCAGCCCUAACUACAACAACUGCUGCUCUUACGAUCACUGCAACUCCACAACCUACUACGACAACCAGUGCAGCUCCUACUACAACAACUGCUGUUCUAAUGACCACAGUAACUGCAGCACUUUCUACAACAACUACAACUUCAGCCCAUAUGACCACUACAACAAUAGCACCUACUACAACACCUGUAGUUCCUACAACUGUAGCUCCCACGACCACUCCACCUGCUGUACUUACUACAACAAUCACAACUACAGCUCCUGCUACAACAACUUUAGCUUCUACGUCAACCACAGCAGUUUCCUAUACGACAACCACUGCAGCUCCUGCUACAACAACUGCUAUUCUUACAACCACUGCGACUGCAGCACCUUCUACAACAACUACAACUUCAGUGCCUACGACAACCACAACAGCCACACCAACUACUGUAGCUCCCACGACAACUGCAGCUCCUACAAAAACUUUGGCAUCUACUUCAACCACAGCAACUGUCCCUACGACAGCCACUGCAGCCCUAACCACAACAACUGCUGCUCCUUUGACCACUACAACUCCAGAACAGGUUACGACAACCAGUGCAGCUCCUACUACAACAACUGCUGUUCCUACGAGCACAACGACUGCAGCACCAUCUCAAACACCUGCAGUUCCUGUAGCUCCCAUGACCACUCCACCUGCUGUACUUUCUACAACAAUCACAACUACAGCUCCUGCUACAAUAACCACAGUAGCUGCGUCUACGACAACCACUGCAGCUCCUACUACAACAACUGCUGUUCUUACGACCACGCCGACUGCAGCAUCUUCUAAAACAACAUCAACUGCAGCUCCUAAGACUGCAGAACCUACCACGACAACCAGUGCAGCACCUUCUACAACAACUACAACAGCUCUUUCUACAACAACUGUAAAUCCUUUGACAACAAUAGUUGGUCCUACGACCACUAUUAUAUCAAUCAAUUCUGCAGAUCCUACAACCUCCACCACAACUGGUAGUUAUCAUCCUACAACAAGGACUACAACUGCAUCACCUACAAGUACAAACACAAUUGUACUUCCUACAUCGACAACAAGAACUUCAACUUAUAUCUCAACUUCUAUGACAUCAACAACUAGGUAUGCAAGAUAA
rnacentral:lncRNA from 1 species